rnacentral:rRNA from 1 species
UACGUAGGGUGCAAGCGUUGUCCGGAAUUAUUGGGCGUAAAGAGCUCGUAGGCGGUCUGUCGCGUCGGAUGUGAAAAUCCAGGGCUCAACCCUGGACCUGCAUUCGAUACGGGCAGACUAGAGUUCGGUAGGGGAGACUGGAAUUCCUGGUGUAGCGGUGAAAUGCGCAGAUAUCAGGAGGAACACCGGUGGCGAAGGCGGGUCUCUGGCCCGAUACUGACGCUGAGGCACGAAAGCGUGGGGAGCAAACAGG